CUCCUUUCAGAUUGGUUGUGCAAGUUGCAUUCUGACUCCUUGCAGGAGGGAAUGAUUAGAUGAUUGUUUGCCAGUGUAUGUUUUGGCCAAGCUAAUCAGCUGCCCCAGGACUGCACAUGAAAUACAUUAUAGAGGGUUUUCUCUCAGACCACAGGGUUGGCAAUUCCGAACAAUUCUGCCUGAUAACCUACUUACUGCCAGUGCCCAACUACAUCUGAUGCUGCGACUUCUUGGACAAAGCAAAAACUUUCUGCUGACUAACAUCUCCACUUUGCCCCAACCUGCUGGAUGCUCUGGAAACAAGGUUUGGAAUGUCACUACUUCUCCGUGAGCGGAAUUCCAUAACCCACCAGCUCCCAGGAGAUGGUUUGAAUUCCACUGAAGAAGUGAAUUUUACCAGGCGCUGGGGAUAAAGCCAAAAAGAAGCAUUAGAAAUACGUACGUAAAAAAUGGGAGAGAAGAUGUUGCUCCUAACUUGAUAAUGCACAGAUGCUAGCACUGCUGUGUAAAAUUCAUGCAAGUCUUCCUUGGCAACUGCAGUGAAAUGAAACCUAAAGUGACAGCCUGAGACAAAGAGGAAAGCCAAAGCACGCUGUGCUGUGCAGGGCCUGGCUGAGUGGGUGACGUCGCUCAGAGAGCCACCAUUCGAGUGUCACAGCUGUCACCAUCCAUUCCCUGCACAUCAAAUCCAUUCUGCUUCUGUCUGGGGCAGGAGCUUGUUACCUCAGAAGCUGACGAGAACCAGAGAUUUUUUUUCAUAUUUCCUCUUUGCCUCAACUACGUGCUGUCAGUUAGGAAAUCCACAGCUCAGUAUUGACAUGUGUGAUUCCCAGUUUGACUUCUGCGCUGGAGUCCAACUGGAACUGUGCACCAGUGAAGGUCUGCUUCCCAUAAAGGGCCUCUCUGAAAUGGGGCACUCAAGAGACAAAGGCCUGUUCAUAUAUAAAAGGGGGAAGAGAAUACUGGAACAAAGAGGAAUUUCUACUAUUUCCUGCUUUGGUAUAUUCACAAAAAUCAGACCUUUUUAGUGAAUGAAUGCCAGUAACAGAUUAUAUAUCCUUAUGUUUAUUAAUUACCUUUCCUUUCUCAUUCAAGCUUUGAUAGCUGCUAUUCUCAAAUAGGUAACAGAUAAACAUAAUGAACUCUUCUGGAUGAAGGCUGAAAGUCACAGAGCUAUGAAAUAAUGCAAUUGAAAAUGGAGGAAGAGUGGUCCCAGUGCUGUCAUACCAGCAGUGAAUGCACAUCAGACAAUGCAAAAUGCUGUACGCUCAACAGAGACAUGGUCCAUAAUACAAGAGCAUAGGAAUUUCAUUUCCAUGCAGAGCUCAAUACAAUUAAAAAAGAAAAAAAAAGAAAAGAAAGAAAAAAGAAAGAAAAAAAAGAGCGGGAUUAUAUGAGUGGUAAUUUGGUGUUAUGGAUAUAUGGAUGAGGUAUUUUCUUAGAAGCCUUAAAAUGAUGAUGAUUGCAGUUUGGUCCAUGACCCGGGGGGGGACUUCCUGCUUCUGCUGGUGAGUUUGCUUGUUUGUUUGUUAUUGCGCACAUUGCUCUAGAGAAGUAGGACUUAGCAAGAAAAAUUAACCUAUUUUACUUUAUUUUUUACUUCUAUAGCGUUGCUAUUGCAAUUCCAUAGAGUUCCAUUAUUUUCUCAUGCAGAAGCACAUUAUAACUUUUAGUUUUCAUUGUUUCAGAUGAAUGUUUAUAUUUUAAAAAUGAUAAUAAUUAUGUUUUUCACUAAAGAAAGUUGUGGGACUUCUCAUUACAACCUCUAUAAAAUGUGAAGAUUUACUCUUCAGCAUGGAGAGAGAGAGAGAGGGGCAUCACAUGCCUCUCCUGCCUUCGUUCAGGGGAAAAGAAAACUUCAUUUUUUAUAUUUUAGGAUAGUCUAUUUUAAGAACUAGUCCAUAGAAGUCCAUGGAGUUUAAUGUCAUUUCUUCAACUGCAAUGCAAAGAGAAACUGAAACAUGAAAAAAAGCACGUGCUGAGAAAUAAUAUUCUGGCAGUGGAGUUCAUUUUCAACAAAAAACAAAUAAUACUGGUCCCCUCACAAA
ensembl:lncRNA